rnacentral:tRNA from 1 species
GGGGUAGUGGUCUAGGGGUAUGGCGUCUCUUUCGCAUAGAGAAGGUCCGGGGUUCAAUUCCCUGCUACUCCA